rnacentral:tRNA from 1 species
GCCGGCGUGGCGGAACAGGUAGACGCGCACGACUCAAACUCGUGUGAUAGCAAUAUCAUGUCGGUUCGAUUCCGACCGCCGGCA